rnacentral:rRNA from 1 species
UACGUAGGGGGCAAGCGUUGUCCGGAAUCAUUGGGUCGUAAGAGCGUGUAGGCGGUCCGGUCAGUCGGUUGUGAAAGUCAAGGCUCAACCCUUGAAUGCCGGCCGAUGACUGCCGGGCGUAGAGUCCGGAAGAGGUGAGUGGAAUUCCUGGUCGUAGCGGUGAAAUGCGCAGAUAUCGAGGAGGAACACCGAGUGGCGAAGGCAGCUGCACUGGGACGGUACUGACGCUGGAGACGCGGAAAGCGUGGGAGCAAACAGG